rnacentral:snoRNA from 1 species
ACCCUCCAGAUUCCUCACUCCUCAUCUCUAAAUACUGGUCUGAAUGGCUGGAAAAAAAAAAGGAGGAAAAGUAAAAUUGAAGUGGACUUGGAGUCUUUAGUGGUAUACAAGUUCAUUUCAAGUCUCC